AUGCUCACUUUGGCAGUACAUAUACUAAAAUGGAAACAAUGCAGAGAAGAUUACCAUAGCCUCUUCUCAAGGAUGAUAUGCAAAUUUGUGAAGUGUUCCAUAAGAAA